AUUGAACGCUGGCGGCAGGCCUAACACAUGCAAGUCGAACGGUAACAGGAAGAAGCUUGCUUCUUUGCUGACGAGUGGCGUACGGGCGAGGAAUGUCUGGGAAACUGCCUGAUGGAGGGGGAUAACUACUGGAAACGGUAGCUAAUACCGCAUAACUUCGCAAUACCAAAGAGGGGGACCUUCGGGCCUCUUGCCAUCGUAUGUGCCCAGAUGGGAUUAGCUAGUAGGUGGGGUAACGGCUCACCUAGGCGACGAUCCCUAGCUGGUCUGAGAGGCUGACCAGCCACACUGGAACUGAGACACGGUCCAGACUCCUACGGGAGGCAGCAGUGGGGAAUAUUGCAGAAUGGGGGAAAGCCUGAUGCAGCCAUGCCGCGUGUAUGAAGAAGGACUUCGGGUUGUAGAGUACUUUAAGAGGGGAGGAAGGGAGUAAAGUUAAUAACUUUGCUCAUUGACGUUACCCGCAGAAGAAGCCCCGGCUAACUACGUG
rnacentral:rRNA from 1 species